rnacentral:lncRNA from 1 species
GAAAGACGUGUCUAGGGUACCACAGAUAUCAGUGUGUUGUGUUUACUACUGUGCCCAUGCUUCCAUCUUGAUGACAAGGAGGACGACUCCUUCAUCAUUCCCACUACAGAAUACACAAUGGUUCACAUCUUGAAACUGUUUCAGUGUUAUUAACCUGGAUUCCAUUUGGAUGAAAUGAAGCCAGAAGAGACGUCAAUGAGAAAAAAAGAACCUAAAAGAAACCUACUUAAUGUUUUAUGACAGAAAUCUAGAAUCAAAUUGAAUUAAGGAAAUCUUGAAGAGAAGACUUCACAUAUUUCCCGACUAAUCUCUGAUGAGACAGCUUUCUUCCAUUCUUAAAGGAGGAAGAAAGGGAGAAUCAGCAAGUAAAACAAAACAAGAAAAUGAUAUUCAUUCCACAUAACAUAUUUAAUUUGAUCGACAAUCUUUAGCCUGUCAUUGACCAAGAACACCCAAGUAAUGUUUGUUGGAAAAUCUACUCUAAGCUGCUGAACAGUUAAUUUGCCAGUUUUAGUUUUAU